CUCCCCCCGUAGUCUCCUCCAUCUCCGGUGACUCCCCUCUAAAAACCUCUUCUUUGCUGUGGAAUCAUCAGUUCAUCUGACGCGAUAGGAUGAUGAGAUGCCUUUGGUCGAGAGGGUUCGUAUGUUGAAGUCAAAUCUUGAGCAGCGAGGGAUUCAAUGUCCUUCUGUAAAAUCUGGGCAGUUCUUGAAUUUGCUAUGCCCCAAGUGUAAAAUAGGGAAGGGCUUCAAUGGAGAAAAGCUUCUCCCUUUUUCAUUCGUGAAGAUUGGAAUACUGAGGGGACAGAGGCCUUGUUGUGCAAUAUUAACAAAAAUCAAAAUUGGAAGUUUGUAGUUUGCUCUAUGAGGAACAAGGCAAGGCAUUGGUUAACAAAGAUUAUAUGGUCUAUUUUUCAGUCAAUAACUUAAUCGGAGCUAAUGUAUACUGCUUUAUGGAGUGCAAAGGCUUAUUAUGCAAGAAAGCUUUGGAAGAGCACAUCAAGAAACCAUUCUUGAAGGAAAGAUAUACGGAAUAUGUUGUGUGCUGAUGAAUUGGAGGGGAAGGGAAGAAAUAGCUGAAAGAUAUUUUUCGUCUCAUAUGGCAAGUGUGAUAUUUUCACAUAUGAACUACUGAAUAUAGGCGAAUGCUUGUGCCGUACUUUCUAUGUGGAAGAUGCAGAUCACUAGUAAAUUGAGGUUGCUUCUUCAAAUUGUUGAACAUGUUUCUUGUUUUCCAGGUUUUCUUCUCGUACUUUCUUGGUACAGAGCUCUUAGUUAUUCCAAGUUUAUGUGAUUGGUUUUCUGAUGCAGAAUGCUUCUAAGCAAAUAUUGAUUGAGGAAUGAAUGAAUCCAUAAAGUUUGGAUUUAGGUGAUAGAUAAACCCCCUCUAUUUGGACAGAUCAUCGUAGUAAACCUUCUUGAUAUUAUUGCUGUUUGUAUCAUGCAGUUAUUCAUGCUGAAUCCAUAAAUUUAAGGAAGUGACUUAUCUGUUUCUCAUUAGUUCCAGGCUUUCUAAUCCUGAAAGGACAGAAACGAAGUAUAUAUGUUAGCCAUAUGCUGUUCAAGAUCAAGAGCUUUGUGUGAAAUCAUGGAUGCCAUGUUUGGUUUGUAGGCAUCCCAGGCAGGUAUUUAACAGUUUGUCAUAAUGUAUAUGCAACAGACUUUGUAUCAUAUUAUUCCUUAUAUCUGUAUGUUUCCUGAGCAUGAAUUAUCUAUUAACUACAAAAUCAGGGAGGCGGUCCUCCUAAUUUGUACGAUAUCAGUGGAAGUGCACAUUUCAUUAACAAAUGUGAAAAUGUUAUUGUUCAUCAUCCUAAUCAGGACGCUAAUGCUGGACCUCUUGACCCUGUGCAGUUAAAUCAAAUCCUUUACUUUGGACUUUAGAUUGUCAUAUAUGUGUUCCUGCUCAUUGAUUGUUAUCA